UUUUUUCUUUUUUUUUUGGCUCAGGAAAGAACUAGAUCUAGUUUUUUAAAUGUAUUUAUUAUUUUUUUUUUAAAUGUAGCAUUUUCAAGUCAAAUUAGAAAUAAGACCUGUCAAUACAGAUUGCAGUAAUUCCCAAAAUAAGCUUUUUAUGACUUUGUCAGAUUAUGUCUUAAUGAAUGCUCUCAAAUCUAAAGUAAACUGACAUAUAGUGAAAUAUUUUAUACAACCCUGACAUGAGCCCUUGACUCUACGAAUACCGGUUGUGGUGAAACACAUUCUAAGAACCAGGCUGAGGUUUCCAGUGAUACAACAUUCAGUAGAUUAAAAAGAAAUCAACAGCAAACUCAGAGAGCAUGUCUUAUAGUAGAGCCAAGGAGACGCUAUUGUCAAAAUCAACCUCAGACUUUAAAAACAAUCUCAGGAGGUUUGUGCAGUAUUUUUUUUUUUUUUUUUUUUUUUAACUCAAGUUUGGUUGUAAUAUCCAGGGUGUGUGUGUGUGUGAGGAAAUGUAAGGCAUUCAUCUUUGGAUCCACACCACUGAAUGGAGAAUGGGUGCUUCUGUGUGCCCACAUAUGACCUUGUUUCUCUCCAUCUGCUUAAAAUUACUCUUUAAUAUCUCACCAAAUCACUUUUUUUCUUUCUUCUUCACAGCUUUCUUCUCAGAUGUAAGAACCUUUUUCACAAUAUUUGUGUUCUAAACUCUACAGUCCAUCCAGUGUGAUUUGAUACAUUCUAUAUUUCUUCCAAAGAAUUAUAAGUGAAUGUGUACCUUCAGAAUUCCACAGAAGUUUCUGCAGAGUUGGAACACCCAUAUGUCAUAAGUUCUAUAAAUUUUUCACCCGAUGCAUGUUCAUUCAUUAAAUAAUUUAACUAAUUUUAUUGUGCUUUCAGUUACUAAAAAGAAUCUAGUGCUUUCAACUCUGUUCAAAACAUGUUCUAACGAUAUUCUCCUCAAAAUCAGUGCAGAAAAUAUCUGUAGAUUCCACCUGGGCCUACUUGUAAGAUAUUAAACAGGUCAAAAACUUUCAAGUCUGAAGGAACCCACAGGAAGUGUCAGGUAAUGGCAGUAUUGCGGAUGUCUCCGUAAUACUCAGAGACAUUAACCUUUGUGAAUAGUGACUCCAUUGAUGAAGUUCACGGUGCACCUGUGAAUAUGUUUGGAACUGGACAGAUUUUGUGUUUCAUCAUUGGACUCGGAUCGAAUGGGCUCAGUGUGUAACAGGAAUUGAUCAAGACUGGACACAGUGAGUUUGCGCCGUGAGUGAUUUCAACUAGGGCUGUGCAAUUAAUUGAAAUCGUCAUAAAAUCACGAUUUGAGCAUGCAUGAUUUCUAAAUCGCUUUAUAGCAUGAUUUUCCGCGGACCCGACCUCUACAAUGAGCUAUAUGAUCAAUGCAUGGACAAAAAAAAAAAAAAAAAAGUCCCUGGACACGGGAUUUAUAUAUUUAUUUAUUUUUUAUUUAUUAUUUUUUUGCCAUAUGUCUAGACAUUUUGUAACACCUUUGCUUAGUGAUUAUUUUGACUUAUGUCUGUUCUAGAGAAUUUUCCGCGGACCCGACCUCUACAAUGAGCUAUAUAGAUACAAUGACAUGGCAAAAAAAGAAAAAAAAAAAGUACCCUGGACACGGGAUUUAUAUAUUUAUUUAUUUUUUAUUUAUUUAUUUUUUUGUCCAUAUGUCUAGACAUUUUGUAACACCUUUGCUUAGUGAUUAUUUUGACUUAUGUCUGUUCUAGAGACGUUACAACUUUUUGAUAAAGCUCUAAUUGGUUUUCUUUUGGAAAUAUGUUUUAAAUUCAUACUGAAUGCAUUUAUGACUGUAAAGCAUGUCUGUGUGUCAAAAUCGUGAUUAAAAUCGAAAUUGCAAAACUGAUUAAAGAAAUCGCAAUAGUUUUUUUUGUCCAUAUCGCACAGCCCUAAUUUCAACCUUGCCUCAUUAUCAUCAAAUGUACGUAAGUGAAUUCAUUUUCAAGACUUGUUAACUGUGAGUGAUUAUUCUGAACACCUCAGCUGCGAAUGUGCACCAACGAACUGGGGCCCAACGUUAAAGUAUGCUCGUAUAUGUGACUUUGUUACUGAUUCAUAUCAAAUCUGCAUGCAGGACUGAAAGGGCCUGAUAAUAGAGAUGAAACGGUAUGAAAAUUUCUAUCACGAUUAUAGUGACCAAAAUUAUCAGGGUUAUCAGUAUUAUCACACCUGAUAAUAGAGAUGAAACGGUAUGAAAUUCUUAUCACGAUUAUAGUGACCAAAAUUAUCAGGGUUAUCAGUAUUAUCACAGUAUUGUUAAAGUGUGCUGGAAAUGUUCAGAAAGUACUAACACAAUGAAAUGUUAAAUGACAACAUGACCGACAAAAGUUUAUCUAAUAACAUGUACGAAAUUUUCAUAAAAUGGUAAACCUCUACAUUUCAGCCUUUAAAUAAAAGGGUUAAGUCAAAAAUGAUAAUUGAUUAAUAAAUUAUUAUAUGUAUUUUAACUGCUCCAUAAAUAAUUCUUAGAUAUCCAAAUUUUUUCAGAUAUAUAUAUAUAUAUAUAUAUAUAUAUAUUAAGAACUAUUUUGUCUAAUUCAUUUUUAUGUUUUUUGGUCCACUACAUUGGCCAAAUUUACCAUUCAGCAGGUUCCUG
rnacentral:lncRNA from 1 species